AGAACGAACGCUGGCGGCAGGCUUAACACAUGCAAGUCGAACGGGUGUAGCAAUACAUCAGUGGCAGACGGGUGAGUAACACGUGGGAACCUUCCUAGGGGUACGGAACAACUCAGGGAAACUUGAGCUAAUACCGUAUACGUCCGUAAGGAGAAAGAUUCAUCGCCCCUAGACGGGCCCGCGUCGGAUUAGGUAGUUGGUGGGGUAACGGCCUACCAAGCCUACGAUUUUCCGAGCUGAUCUGAGAGGAUGAUCAGCCACACUGGGACUGAGACACGGCCCAGACUCCUACGGGAGGCAGCAGUGGGGAAUCUUGGACAAUGGGCGCAAGCCUGAUCCAGCCAUGCCGCGUGAGUGAAGAAGGCCUUAGGGUUGUAAAGCUCUUUUACCAGGGACGAUAAUGACGGUACCUGGAGAAUAAGCCCGGCAAACUUCGUGCUAGCAGCCGC
rnacentral:rRNA from 1 species